rnacentral:rRNA from 1 species
UCAUGGAAUAAAUAAAGUCGAAAAAUACGAACCACAGUUUAAAACUUAAAGAUUUUGGCGGUGUCUCAUCGAAUCAGGGGAACCUGUCUCAUAACUCGAUAAUCCACGAACACCUUACCUCCCCUAGAUCUAACAGCUUGUGUACUGCCGUCGUAAGCACACCUCUAAAAGAACAAGUAUGCAAUCAUGACUAGUCUCAUAUACGUCAGGUCAAAGUGCAGCUAAUGGGAAGGUGAUGAUGGGUUACAACCUAAAUAAAGAUACGGAAUAAAGUUCUAAUAGCUUUAUAAAAGUGGACUUGGGUGUAAUAAUGACUAAAUACCAAAAUGAAAUCGAAUCUAAGACAUGCACACAUCGCCCGUCACUCUUGCCUAAAGGCA